GGCCUAACACAUGCAAGUCGAACGCCCCGCAAGGGGAGUGGCAGACGGGUGAGUAACGCGUGGGAAUCUACCUAGUUCUACGGAACAACAGUUGGAAACGACUGCUAAUACCGUAUACGCCCUACGGGGGAAAGAUUUAUCGGAAUUAGAUGAGCCCGCGUAAGAUUAGCUAGUUGGUGGGGUAAUGGCCUACCAAGGCGACGAUCUUUAGCUGGUCUGAGAGGAUGAUCAGCCACACUGGGACUGAGACACGGCCCAGACUCCUACGGGAGGCAGCAGUGGGGAAUAUUGGACAAUGGGCGCAAGCCUGAUCCAGCCAUGCCGCGUGAGUGAUGAAGGCCUUAGGGUUGUAAAGCUCUUUCAGUAGGGAAGAUAAUGACGGUACCUACAGAAGAAGCCCCGGCUAACUACGUGCCAGCAGCCGCGGUAAUACGUAGGUGGCAAGCGUUG
rnacentral:rRNA from 1 species